CCUACGGGUGACAGCAGUGGGGAAUAUUGCACAAUGGGGGAAACCCUGAUGCAGCGACGCCGCGUGAAGGAAGAAGUCUUUCGGUAUGUAAACUUCUAUCAGCAGGGAAGAAAAUGACGUUACCUGACUAAGCAGCCACGGCUAACUACGUGCCAGCAGCCGCGGUCAUCCGUCGGGGGCAAGCGUUAUCCGGAUUUACUGGGUGUAAAGGGAGCGUAGGCGGUUUAGCAAGUCAGAAGUGAAAGCCCGGGGCUCAACUCCGGGACUGCUUUUGAAACUGGUGAACUAGAGUGCAGGAGAGGUAAGUGGAAUGCCUGGUGUAGCGGUGAAAUGCGUAGAUAUUAGGAGGAACACCAGUGGCGAAGGCGGCUUACUGGACUGUAAAUGACGCUGAGGCACGAAAGCGUGGGGAGCAAACAGGAUUAGAUACCCUAGUAGUC
rnacentral:rRNA from 1 species